rnacentral:rRNA from 1 species
AUUGAACGCUGGCGGCAGGCCUAACACAUGCAAGUCGAACGAGUGGCGGACGGGUGAGUAAUGUCUGGGAAACUGCCCGAUGGAGGGGGAUAACUACUGGAAACGGUAGCUAAUACCGCAUACCAUCGGAUGUGCCCAGAUGGGCUUAGCUAGUAGGGGGGGUAACGGCUCACCGAGGCGACGAUCCCUAGCUGGUCUGAGAGGAUGACCAGCCACCCGGUAACUGAGACACGGUCCAGACUCCUACGGGAGGCAGCAGUGGGGAAGUUUGCACAAUGGGCGCAAGCCUGAUGCAGCCAUGCCGCGUGUGGGAAGAAGGCCGUCGGGUUGUAAAGCACUUGCAGCGGGGAGGCGUUACCCGCAGAAGAAGCACCGGCUAACUCCGUGCCAGCAGCCGCGGUAAUAC